UGCGCAGGCGGAAUAAUAAGUCAGUGGUGAAAUCUCUCGGCUCAACCGGGAAACUGCCAUUGAUACUGUUAUUCUUGAGUACAGUUGAAGUGGGCGGAAUGUGUCAUGUAGCGGUGAAAUGCUUAGAUAUGACACAGAACACCGAUAGCGAAGGCAGCUCACUAAGCUGUAACUGACGCUCAUGCACGAAAGCGUGGGGAUCAAACAGGAUUAGAUACCCGUGUAGUCC
rnacentral:rRNA from 1 species